rnacentral:rRNA from 1 species
UACGGAGGGUGCAAGCGUUAUCCGGAUUCACUGGGUUUAAAGGGUGCGUAGGUGGGUUGGUAAGUCAGUGGUGAAAUCUCCGGCUUAACUCGGAAACUGCCGUUGAUACUAUCAAUCUUGAAUGUUGUGGAGGUAAGCGGAAUAUGUCAUGUAGCGGUGAAAUGCUUAGAUAUGACAUAGAACACCGAUAGCGAAGGCAGCUUGCUACACAAUAAUUGACACUGAGGCACGAAAGCGUGGGAUCAA